CGGGAAGAGCUCAAAUUUAAAAUCUGGCAGUGUAUUCUGUCCGAGUUGUAAUUUGUAGAGGAUACUUUUGAUGCGGUGCCUUCCGAGUUCCCUGGAACGGGACGCCAUAGAGGGUGAGAGCCCCGUCUGGUUGGAUGCCAAAUCUCUGUAAAGUUCCUUCGAC
rnacentral:rRNA from 1 species